ensembl:misc_RNA Y_RNA Y RNA
AGUUUGUCCAAGUGUGGUCAUGUUCACAACUAAAUGAUCACAGCCAGUUACAGAUUGCUCAUUCCCUCUCUACUCUCAUUGCUUUACUUAGCUAGCCUUAA